AGAGGCUACUGCCAUCAGAGUUCGAUUAAGCCAUGUUAGUCGAGGGUACCUCUUCUUCUUCGGAGGAUGAGGUAACCCGGCGGACGGCUCAGUAACACGUGGAUAACUUGCCCUUGGGUCUGGGAUAACCCCUGGGAAACUGGGGCUAAUACCGGAUGGAGCAUCAAUCGCUGGAAUGCCUGAUGCUCGAAAACUACGGUGCCCAAGGAUAGGUCUGCGGCUGAUUAGGUUGUUGUUGAUGUAAUGGACCAACAAGCCUACGAUCGGUACGGGUUGUGAGAGCAAUAGCCCGGAGAUGGGUUCUGAGAAAAGAACCCAGGUCCUACGGGACGCAUCAGGCGCGAAAACUUUACAAUGUGCGAAAGCACGAUAAGGGAACUCUGAGUGCCCCCUAAGGGGGCUGUUCUAGUGUCUAAAAAGCAGUAGAAGUAAGGGCUGGGCAAGACCGGUACCAGCCGCCGCGGUAACACCGGCAGCCCAAGUGGUAGCCACGUUUAUUGGGUCUAAAGCGUUCGUAGCCGGCUUGGUAAGUUCCUUGGUAAAUUUAGCCGCUUAACGGUUAAGCUUUCAGGGAAUACUGCUUGGCUUGGGACUGGGAGAGGUCAGAGGUACUCCAGGGGUAGGGGUGAAAUCCAUUAAUCCUUGGGGGACCACCGGUAGCGAAGGCGUCUGACCAGACCAGCUCCGACGGUGAGGGACGAAGGCUAGGGGCGCGAACCGGAUUAGAUACCCGGGUAGUCCUAGCUGUAAACGAUGCGGGCUAGGUGUUGGCAUUACUGCGAGUGGUGCCAGUGCCGAAGGGAAGCCGUUAAGCUCGCCAUCUGGGGAGUACGGUCGCAAGGCUUAAACUUAAAGGAAUUGGCGGGGGAGCACCACAACGGGUGGAGCCUGCGGUUC
rnacentral:rRNA from 1 species